rnacentral:lncRNA from 1 species
AGGGUAUUCCAGGACCACAUGGUAAUCCAGGUUUGCCAGGAUUGCCAGGUCCAAAGGGCCCUAAAGGAGACCCAGGAUCCUCUCCAGGACAGGCAAAAUGUGGAGAAAAGGGUGAUCCAGGCCCCAUAGGAUUUCCAGGCCCACCUGGGAUCAAAGGACAGAAGGUAGGAUUCUGCUUGCAUUUUCACGUAACCCUCUCUGGCUCAAAUCAAUGGCUAGCUGGUGGUCAAGAGGU